GUGAGGAUAUUGGUCAAUGGGCGUUAGCCUGACCAGCCUGCCGCGUGCAGGAAGACGGCCCUACGGGUUGUAAACUGCUUUUCUGCGGGAAGAAUUCUGUGUAUUCGUUACAGGGUUGACGGUACCGCAGGAAUAAGCAUCGGCUAACUCCGUGCCAGCAGCCGCGGUAAUACGGAGGAUGCAAGCGUUAUCCGGAUUCAUUGGGUUUAAAGGGUGCGUAGGCGGUGGGAUAAGUCAGUGGUGAAAGCCCGGGGCUCAACUCCGGGAUUGCCAUUGAAACUGUUUCACUUGAGUGUAGUCGAGGACGGCGGAAUGAGUUAUGUAGCGGUGAAAUGCAUAGAUAUAACUCAGAACACCGAUUGCGAAGGCAGCUGUCCAGGCUACAACUGACGCUGAGGCACGAAAGCGUGGGGAGCGAACAGGAUUAGAUACCCUGGUAGUCCACGCUGUAAACGAUGAUCACUCGUUGUUGGUCACGUAGUGACCAGUGACUGAGGGAAACCAUUAAGUGAUCCACCUGGGGAGUACGUCGGCAACGAUGAAACUCAAAGGAAUUGACGGGGGCCCGCACAAGCGGAGGAACAUGUGGUUUAAUUCGAUGAUACGCGAGGAACCUUACCUGGGCUUAAAUGCAGGCUGCAUUGGGUGGAAACACCCAUUUCCUUCGGGACUGCUUGCAAGGUGCUGCAUGGUUGUCGUCAGCUCGUGCCGUGAGGUGUCGGGUUAAGUCCCAUAACGAGCGCAACCCUUAUCGUUAGUUGCCAGCA
rnacentral:rRNA from 1 species